UUCUUGCUCACUUAUUGAAUUUUCCAGAGCAUGUCAUUCCCUUAUUUUCGUCUGAAUGGAGUCCCCUCGGGAAAGGGCUCAUAGCAGCAAACUUCUAUGAAGGAUCCACGUAGAAAACUUACCUUACCCUAAAACAUAGGCCUCGGAUGGCAUAUUUUGAUGACUUGGAUGCUGUGUGAGUUAUCACAAGUUAAAGAUGUAACCUUAACAUAAAAUCGUGCAGCUAACCCGCGGAUUCCCCAACAAUAGAUCUGAUAGAAUUUAUGGCCUGUUUAGUUCGUUCAGCAGCAUGAAAGAACGAAGAGUUUGAAUCCCCGAGCCGUGGAAAUAGCGGUGUAUCUGU
rnacentral:misc_RNA from 1 species